ACUUAUGAAGGUUCUAUGCAUGUAGGUUUUUCGUUCAUAUAAGUAGUGUUAAUUACACAAUUCAGAAACAGAAUUUAAGUUUCACUGUGAUUUUAUUUUUUUACAACAAUUGAUUACCUAAUACCAAUAAAAUUUUCUACACAUAAUCUUUGGUAUGUUUGGUAAAUUUAAUGUCAAUAUUUGAGUCAAUAGCAUGUGUAACAACCUCUCUUCCGGUACAAUUUCAUAACACGACGUAUCAUUCUCGGUACAAGCCUUCAAAACUUUAGUUAACGAAUCUGUUGCAUUAAACAACAAAUGCCACUUUAAAAUCGACAAAAUAUUGUGAAGGUGGAUCUCUGCGAUUGAGAUUUCCGCCAAUGGCACCUCAUACAUGUUUGGUAGGGUUUUUGUAUUGAGACAUGCAAGGUCAAAACAUAGUGUAAAUGGCUUGUUGCUCUUUGGACUCGGUUAAAAUCCGUGCCCUGUGUGGUCUAGCGUUGUCGUCCAUGUACAAGGGUCUUGACAAUGUUGACGCAAGUGGGGGAUUAUUAAAACAAGGGACUAAAAUGUGUUAAGGCAUCAAAUCUCUGUAUGUCUGUCCGUUUAUGUUACCCAUCAGAAUAUGCAUACCCAGCUUAUAACGGUAUAAGAAGCAAUCCCGUACUGGAACAACACCAGCACUGAAUGCAGUCCUUGUGCAAACAUUGUCUUGGUCAUCGGCCGUUUUGUUUUCCAGCGAAAUUCGUAUUAUGGGGUCUACUGACAGUAAAAGAUACUGAUUCCCAUCUGACCAAUGAGUGUUUUGU
rnacentral:lncRNA from 1 species